UGAGGUGUGAUCUGUUACUGAAGGCU
rnacentral:piRNA from 1 species